rnacentral:rRNA from 1 species
GACGAACGCUGGCGGCGUGCCUAAUACAUGCCAGUAGAACGCUGAAGAGAGGAGCUUGCUCUUCUUGGAUGAGUUGCGAACGGGUGAGUAACGCGUAGGUAACCUGCCUUGUAGCGGGGGAUAACUAUUGGAAACGAUAGCUAAUACCGCAUAACAAUGGAUGACACAUGUCAUUUAUUUGAAAGGGGCAAUUGCUCCACUACAAGAUGGACCUGCGUUGUAUUAGCUAGUAGGUGAGGUAAUGGCUCACCUAGGCGACGAUACAUAGCCGACCUGAGAGGGUGAUCGGCCACACUGGGACUGAGACACGGCCCAGACUCCUACGGGAGGCAGCAGUAGGGAAUCUUCGGCAAUGGGGGCAACCCUGACCGAGCAACGCCGCGUGAGUGAAGAAGGUUUUCGGAUCGUAAAGCUCUGUUGUAAGUCAAGAACGGGUGUGAGUGUGGAAAGUUCACACUGUGACGGUAGCUUACCAGAAAGGGACGGCUAACUACGUG